AUCACCUAGGUACAAUGCUCCUCUUGGCAGUAUCUUCCUGAUGAUGUACAAACCUUUCCAAUUAGGGGCAAAAUUUUCCUUUGGCUUCUUGAUGACGAGGAAGAAUUCGCCUUAACACUAACUGUCCCACUUCAAACUUCCUAGGCCGUACUUUCUUAUUGUAGGUGCGGGUCAUUCUUUGUUGAUACAACUGCCCAUGAAAAACUGCGGCCAUUCAUUUCUCAUCGAUUAAAGUCAAUUGUUACAAUCG
rnacentral:lncRNA from 1 species